rnacentral:rRNA from 1 species
GCGGCAUGCUUACACAUGCAAGUCGAACGGCAGCGCGGGGCAACUGGCGGCGAGUGGCGAACGGGUGAGUAAUAUAUCGGAACGUACCCAAGAGUGGGGGAUAACGUAGCGAAAGUUACGCUAAUACCGCAUACGAUCUAAGGAUGAAAGCAGGGGAUCGCAAGACCUUGUGCUCCUGGAGCGGCCGAUAUCUGAUUAGCUAGUUGGUGGGGUAAAGGCCUACCAAGGCAUCGAUCAGUAGCUGGUCUGAGAGGACGACCAGCCACACUGGAACUGAGACACGGUCCAGACUCCUACGGGAGGCAGCAGUGGGGAAUUUUGGACAAUGGGCGCAAGCCUGAUCCAGCAAUGCCGCGUGAGUGAAGAAGGCCUUCGGGUUGUAAAGCUCUUUUGUCAGGGAAGAAACGGGUGUCGCUAAUAUCCAUGCCUAAUGACGGUACCUGAAGAAUAAGCACCGGCUAACUACGUGCCAGCAGCCGCGGUAAUAC